rnacentral:lncRNA from 10 species
CCUCUAUUGGGCUGGGAAAAUCCUGUUCUUCAAGUUAUCUUUAGUCAUGCUAGAAAAGAAGCAAACUGGGAAGAGAAAGACAAGAGAAAUUCAUAGGGGGCGGGAGCUGAAAGAUGAGAACACAUGGACACAUAGGGAAGAACAACACACACUGGGGCCUGUCAGAACAUCAGGAAGAAUACCUAAUGGAUGCUGGGCUUAAUACCUAGGUGGUGGCAUGAUCUGUGCAGCAAACUACCUUGGCAUACAUUUACCUCUGUGAUAAACCUGCACAUCCUGCAUGUACCCCUGGACUUAAAAUAAAGGUUGAAGAAAAAAAUAAGUAAAAAUUAAAAAGUCUAAAUACGUGAACAGAGAUUUCACCAGAGAUGAUAUAUUGAUAGCAAAUACAAACAUGCAAAGAUACUCAAUAUUAUUAGUCAUUAGGGAAAUGAAAAUGAAAAUCACAAUAACCUACUACUUCAUAUCUACAAGAAUGGCUAAAAUGACAAACACUGACGUGUGGAUCGGAGGAACUGGAACUCUCAUACACUGCUGAAAAGAAUAUAAAAUGGCAGUACUAUGGAAAAAAUGUAUUUUUGGCUGGGUGCAAUGGCUCACAUCUGUAAUCCCGGCACUUUGGGAGGUUGAGGCAAGUAGAUCACUUGAGAUCAGGAGUUCGAGUAAAUAAUAAUAAUAAAUGCUAAGCCAAAUAACCAAAAGAAACCUCUGAAUUCAGAGUUCAACAUAGUUGUGUCUGAAAAGUACAUCAUAAAAGAAGAACAGGGACCUCUGUUUUUGUAAUAAACUGUAAUCUUUAUAUUUCUGAAAUGUAUACAUAUAUGCCAUAGAUCAUGAGGUCAGGAGAUCGAGACCUUCCUGGCUAACACGGUGAAACACUGUCUCUACCAAAAAUACAAAAAAUUAGCUGGGCGUGGUGGCACACACCUGUAGUCCCAGCUACUCAGGAGGCUGAGGCAGGAGAAUCGCUUGAACCCGGGAGGUGCAGGUUGCAGUGAGCCAAGACCGCACCACUGCACUCCAGCUUGGGCGACAGAGUGAGACUCUGUCUCAAAAAAAAAAAAAAAAAAAAAAAAAAGUUACUAAAAAAUGCUCUAUGUAGUUUGUCACAAAGGUUUAAAGUGAUAUGGAUUAGUACAGCAUAAAAAUAUUGGUUCACAACCACAAAUGGUGGUUAUAGUCAUUCACCACAGUCUGAGAAUUCAAAAGAUAUGUUAUGGAAACAAAGCUAAGAAGAUUAUGGUGUAUGCUGCUAACUUCAUUUCAGGGCAGCUCUAGCACAUGAAAGUAAGAAGAUCCACUUAAUAUGUAUUUAGUAAACAGAAGCAGCAGCCAGGGGCUCAAGGGAUAGUGGGGGCAGCAGCAUAGUUGCACAAGGUCAUGGUACAACAGCAGGAAACCCACAUAGGCAGACAUAGAUAACUGGGAAAUAGAAGUAUCUGCCUAGGUAGAGGAACAGUGAGCAGUUUUAGGGAUCUGCAUGAGCAGUGAGGAGGCAUAUACCUAGAAAGUUGGCUAUUAUUUAGCUCCAAAGAGCUUUCAUUUAGUAGUUCAGCACUAUAUUAGGAUUUAAAGAAAAGACAAAAGUAAGUCCCUUGAAAGAGCAUAUUUCUGGCCGGGCACGGUGGCUCACGCCUGUAAUCCCAGCACUUUGGGAGGCCGAGGCGGGUGGAUCACCUGAGGUCAGGAGUUCGAGACCAGACUGGCCAACAUGGUGACACCCCGUCUCUACUAAAAAUACAAAAAUUAGCCGGGCCUGGUGGCAGGCGCAUGUAAUCUCAGCUACUCGGGAGGCUGAGGCAAGAGAAUCGCUUGAACCCGUGGUCUCUCAAGAGAUGGAGGCUGCAGUGAGCCGAGAUUGAGCCACUACACUCCAGUCUGGGAGACAAGAGCAAGACUUUGUCUCAAAAAAAAAAAGAGCAUAUUUCUUUCCUUGUGUGACUGAGCUUUAGAGUUUAAAUCCUCUCAUUAAAUCUGCAUGAUA